rnacentral:rRNA from 1 species
UCCGGUGCUUGCACCGGGGAUUAGUGGCGAACGGGUGAGUAACACGUGAGUAACCUGCCCUUGACUCUGGGAUAAGCCUGGGAAACCGGGUCUAAUACCGGAUACGACCUGUCACCGCAUGGUGGUGGGUGGAAAGAUUUUUUGGUUUUGGAUGGACUCGCGGCCUAUCAGCUUGUUGGUGAGGUAAUGGCUCACCAAGGCGACGACGGGUAGCCGGCCUGAGAGGGUGACCGGCCACACUGGGACUGAGACACGGCCCAGACUCCUACGGGAGGCAGCAGUGGGGAAUAUUGCACAAUGGGCGAAAGCCUGAUGCAGCGACGCCGCGUGAGGGAUGACGGCCUUCGGGUUGUAAACCUCUUUCAGCAGGGAAGAAGCGAAAGUGACGGUACCUGCAGAAGAAGCGCCGGCUAACUACGUGCCAGCAGCCGCGGUAAUACGUAGGGCGCAAGCGUUGUCCGGAAUUAUUGGGCGUAAAGAGCUCGUAGGCGGUUUGUCGCGUCUGCUGUGAAAGCCCGGGGCUCAACCCCGGGUCUGCAGUGGGUACGGGCAGACUAGAGUGCAGUAGGGGAGACUGGAAUUCCUGGUGUAGCGGUGAAAUGCGCAGAUAUCACGAGGAACACCGAUGGCGAAGGCAGGUCUCUGGGCUGUAACUGACGCUGA